UUAAAGGCAAUGAAAAAGAGGAGUACAAUGAGUGUGUGUAUUCAGAGAAGAAAUCCUUAGGCUGAGAGAUUUCUGACACCCCUUAUUAGAAGCAGCUUUUGAGUCUUGGUUCUGAACCUGUAGUAAGAAUCAGCGGAAGACAGCCGUUAUCUGUCGGGUAUUGAACUGUACUGGAGAGACCAUUUCGGUAAGUAGGGUGGUACCGCGAGAACACUCUCGUCCCUAUA
rnacentral:ncRNA from 1 species